rnacentral:rRNA from 1 species
UACGGGGGGAGCAAGCGUUGUUCGGAUUUACUGGGCGUAAAGGGUGCGUAGGUGGGUCUGUAAGUCAGUGGUGAAAUCCCCGAGCUUAACUUGGGAACUGCCAUUGAUACUAUAGCUCUUGAAUACUGUGGAGGUCAGCGGAAUAUGUCAUGUAGCGGUGAAAUGCUUAGAUAUGACAUAGAACACCAAUUGCGAAGGCAGCUUACUACACAGUUAUUGACACUGAGGCACGAAAGCGUGGGGAUCAAACAGG